GCUCAGGUAGCUUAGUUGGUAAAACAUCAGACUUUUAAUCAUGUGAGGGUUCAAGUCCAUUUUUGGGUG
rnacentral:tRNA from 1 species